GUCGUCGGCCAUACCAGACUGAGAAUACCAGAUCCCAUUAGAACUCUGAAGUCAAGCAAGUCUAUAGGGCCGGUCAAGUACCACUGUCGGGGACGGAGUGGGAACAACUCGGUGUUGACGUCC
rnacentral:rRNA from 1 species